rnacentral:rRNA from 1 species
CAAAAGGAUUCUUUAGAGUUGCACUCGUACGCUUCUUUUUCCACCGGAGCUUGCUCUACCGGAAAAAGAAGAGUGGCGAACGGGUGAGUAACACGUGGGUAACCUGCCCAUCAGAAGGGGAUAACACUUGGAAACAGGUGCUAAUACCGUAUAACAAUCGAAACCGCAUGGUUUUGAUUUGAAAGGCGCUUUCGGGUGUCGCUGAUGGAUGGACCCGCGGUGCAUUAGCUAGUUGGUGAGGUAACGGCUCACCAAGGCCACGAUGCAUAGCCGACCUGAGAGGGUGAUCGGCCACAUUGGGACUGAGCCACAAACAAAAUUUCUACGGGAGGCAGCAGUAGGGAAUCUUCGGCAAUGGACGAAAGUCUGACCGAGCAACGCCGCGUGAGUGAAGAAGGUUUUCGGAUCGUAAAACUCUGUUGUUAGAGAAGAACAAGGAUGAGAGUAACUGUUCAUCCCUUGACGGUAUCUAACCAGAAAGCCACGGCUAACUACGUGCCAGCAGCCGCGGUAAUACGUAGGUGGCAAGCGUUGUCCGGAUUUAUUGGGCGUAAAGCGAGCGCAGGCGGUUUCUUAAGUCUGAUGUGAAAGCCCCCGGCUCAACCGGGGAGGGUCAUUGGAAACUGGGAGACUUGAGUGCAGAAGAGGAGAGUGGAAUUCCAUGUGUAGCGGUGAAAUGCGUAGAUAUAUGGAGGAACACCAGUGGCGAAGGCGGCUCUCUGGUCUGUAACUGACGCUGAGGCUCGAAAGCGUGGAGAGCAAACAGGGAUUAGAUACCCUGGUAGUCCACGCCGUAAACGAUGAGUGCUAAGUGUGGAGGGUUUCCGCCCUUCAGUGCUGCAGCUAACGCAUUUAAGCACUCCGCCUGGGGAGUACGACCGCAAGAUUGAAACUCAAAGGAAUUGACGGGGGCCCGCACAGCGUUGGAGCAUGUGUUUAAUUCGAAGCACGCGAAGGACCCUUACUAGUCUUGACAUCAUUUGACCACUCUAGAGAUAGAGCUUCCCCUUCGGGGGCAAAGUGACAGGUGGUGCAUAUGUCGUCAGCUCGUUGUCGUGAAUGUUGGCUAGGUCCCGCAACGAGCGCAUCCUUUAUUUGUAGCUGCCAUCAUUCAGGUGGGCACUCUAGACAAGACUGCGGAUGACAAACCGAGUAGUUGUAUGACGUCAAUCUCAUGCCUUAGACCUGGGCUACAACGUGCUUAGCAUGGGGGAGUACACCACGUCGA